GGUUGAGUUAGACGUGUUGAAGACAUAACCUUAAUAAUUGUAGUGCGCAAUUUAGAAUAUUUUGUGUAUUUUUUCAUAGUGCAGCGAGUAUAUCGAUGCUCGAUUCACUUGGUCGUAAUGGUUUUUGUGUUCGGUUUCAACGUCCUGCAGAUAUGGACAACAAAAAAACCAAGGCUUUGUUUUUGCUGCGUCUGAUUGCCGACCGUCAGCCUUCAGGCCUGUUACAUUCCUUGGGCCGCAUCAUGCGACACUCACUGAUGGUGUCCGGAGGGUGUAGAAAAUGCAACCAUCCACGGAAAAAUCCAGACCACGUCGCGGAAGAAACCACAACGUCCUAGCAUAUCAUCCCUCGAGACUGGAGGGACGGACUAGCCAAACCCGGGCUCACCGCGUCCAGAAAGGAAUAACUUAACAUUAUUAUUCUUAUUAUAAUAAAAGA